rnacentral:snRNA from 1 species
GGAUGUGAGGGCGAUCUGGCUGGAACAUAUGUCACGCCAUUGAUCGCCUGGGUUGAUUCGGCAGAUAUGGCUGGCUAGGUGGGUGUCCCCUUCCUCCCUCACCGCUCCCUGUGAGUCCCUGUCCAAGCUGGGCUCUCGGUCAAAGAGGACAACCACCCCCGAUAGAGGAGAGCCGUUUCCUCGGUCAAGGGUAUACAAGUAGCUGUGCUCCCCUGCUAGAACCUCCAAACAAGCUCUCAAAGGAAGAACAUUGCAGAUGGUGCUGGGUG